ACACAUUACUGCCUGUCACCCAGUCAACACAGUAAUAAACCGCCUCGUCUUCAGCCUGGACAUUGGAGAUGGUUAAAUAGUAAGUGUUCCCAGAGGUGGAGGCAGCGAACCGAUCUGGGAUCCCGUCUCCCCGGGUGCUGGUACCAUAGAACACAAAACGAGGAGCCUGUCCACCUUUCUGUUGAAGCCAGCUAUAAGCAUGCAAGCUGCCACUACUUCUAGAGCAGGAGAGUUUGACAGUUUGACCCGGGAGCACAGACUCAGAGGCAGGCUGGAUCAAUGUUGUCUGCGAUGUGACACCUUUGCAAAAAGAAAAAUCAAAUACAAGCACAUGAAUCAUUUCCAGUGUUCUCAAAUAUUAGGAAAGACUAUAGCUUUCUUGCUGGUACAUGCAUCAUUUUCUGCGCCCUCAGAUUUCAGAAAAUUAUUAUCUUCUUGUGAAAAGUAACAGAAGUCAAGUCAAAUAAUACGUUAGGUCUCCACAAACAUACCUGAACAGUAACUGAGACAUGUGACGAGAGCAAGGAUCCAGGCCAUGGUGAAUGUAAAAAGGAGGGUGGAUCACACAAACAGAUCUCUAGUCUGGUGGCACCUCCCUACCACAUUCUUAAAUCACCUGGGAAAUGAGGCACAAGCAAUUAUGCAAAUACCUUGACACCCGUUGUCCUUGCUAGAAAUAAUAUGAGGAAAUAUAGGGAACAACUAGCAGAUGACCACAGAACAGAUUUUGCAUGAAGGGGGUGUUUUCACGGAAGAUUGAAGCUUCUAUGUAUUGCUUAGGUCAUGAUUGGGGAGCUAUAGAACCAGGGGCUGAACAUGACCUCCCAAAAUUAUUAUUAUUAUUAUUAUUAUUAUUAUUAUUAUUAUUACCCACCGAUCUGGCUGGGCUGCCCCAGCCACUCUGGGCAGCUAAUAGUUUACAUAAAGACAUAGUAAAAUGUCAAACAUAAAUUUUCCAUUGCAGGGCUGCCUUCAGAAGUCUUCUGAUAGUUGUGUAGUUCUUUAUCUCUUUGACAUCUGAUGGGAGGGCAUUCCAGAGGAAGAGUGCCACUGUCAAGAAGGCCCUCUGCCUGGUUCCCUGUAACCUCACUUCUCACCGUGAGGGAAGCAGCAGAAGACCCUCGGAGGAAGACCUCAGUGUCCGGGCUGAGCAAUGGAAGGUGGAGAAGCUCCUUCAGAUAUUUCCUUUUGUGGCUCUCAGGACGUGCUCAGAACAUGCCCUCUUCAGGCCACAUGCCUCACUUACAUGGUGCUGUGGCCCCCAAUGAUUUUGCCUGGCUUGAAUAUAUCCCUGAAUGUUGAUGAUGCUUAAUUAUAAUAAUAAUAAUAAUAAUAGGGACGCAGGUGGCUCUGUGGGUUAAACCACAAAGCCUAGGACUUGCUGAUCAGAAGGUCGGCGGUUCAAAUCCCUGCAACGGGGUGAGCUCCCGUUGCUCGGUCCCUGCUCCUGCCAACCUAGCAGUUCAAAGGAACGUCAAAGUGCUUCCGGCAGGAAGGUAAAUGGCGUUUCCGUGCGCUGCUCUGGUUCGCCAGAAGCGGCUUAGUCAUGAUGGCUACAUGACCCGGAAGCUGUACGCUGGUUCCCUUGGCCAAUAAAGCGAGAUGAGCGCUGCAACCGCAGAGUCGGUCACGACUGAACCUAAUGGUCAGGGGUCCCUUUACCUUUAAUAAUAAUAAUAUGCAAACGUAUUUAAGCAUUCCUUGUUGAAAGAAGCCAACCCACCACCCUCCUUUCUCAGAUUCAGGGACUCACAACAAAGGUGGAAAUUAAGAAAUAAAAUCAGCUCCCGAACUCUGAAAUUUUGUCCAGGUUUCAAUGGAAACUUCUCUCCAUUGCAAACUGUGAUUACAGGGGGGGGGGGAGUGGCUCAUCAGCACUGCUCCUCAUGCAAAUGUCUCCUAAGCGAGUCGUCAGGCAUAAGAACAGCCAGUUGUGUCUAAGACAGCCAGUUGUGUCUGCCUUGGUGUUGAAACCUUUUAUUUAUGGGAAUCUGCAUUAUAGCAGCUCCAACUAUUUCUUCAUUUAAGGCAAUUCCAGCUUGCCAUUAUUUUCAGGUGAGAUUCAGUCACGUACCAGCAAAUUGAGGCUGCCCAAUUCAGGUUGAUUUCAAGGUGUUGUGCAGGAAGCCAGCUCCUCCUCAAGCGAGUAGUCAGGCAUAAGAAAAACAUUCUGACGCUUCGCUUCACCCCAACAGUUCAGUUUUUGUAACAAUACUGAAAUCACAAUCCAGUCAGUCUUAGUUACAGGUAGGUAGCCGUGUUGGUCUGUUGUAGUCGAAACAAAAUAAAAAAAUUCCUCCAGUAGCACCUUAGAGACCAACUGAGUUUCUUACUGGUAUGAGCUUUCGUGUGCAUGAAGAAUCUGAAGAAGUGUGGAUGCUCACAAAAGCUCAUACCAAUAACAAACUCAGUUGGUCUCUAAGGUGCUACUGAAAGGAAUUUUUUUUAUUUUGUUUAGUCAGUCUUAUGCAUUCACAUUCCCCUUGCUUUCCCCACCAGGAAGAAAGGGUGUGUUCAACUUUGGUUGUGUGAAGUUGUGCUUGAAAACAACAUUCACGGGAGGUCCUGCUUUGUAUUGUUGUGGAAGGAUCAUAGUUUAUUGGCAGUGAACACACACAUGUAUAUUGUAAAUGUGUGAAUCUGUUUAUUCUUCUACAUAGUUCGUACUCAUUUUGAUACAGCUAUGCGGUGUCGCACAUAUCAGUUUAGAUGCUAAUUCCUUUUGGAAACCUGGAAUAUAUAUUUUGUAUAACGUUACACAUAUAACAAUGUAUAUAAUAAUACAUUGGCUCCCCAUCUGUGGGAUGCUCUCCCCAGGCGAGUUUGCCUGGCGCCUUCAUUACACACCUUUUGGCGCCAGGCAGAAACGUUCCUUUUUAACCAGGCCUUUGGUUGAUCUGAUUUACUUCCUAUGCCCUUUUAAAAUGUGGGGGUUUUUUGUGGGGGAGGUUGGUUGCUUUUAUUUUUAUUGUGUAUUUUGUGGUUUUAUAUCUUGAUUUUAUUCUGUGAACCGCCCUGAGACCCCUGGGUAUAGGGCGGUAUAUAAAUUUAAUAAAUAAUAAUAAUAAUAACCUCACAAUGGUAACAAGCUGCUCAAUAAUAGAUUAAACGACUUGAGAGAUGAUAGGAUUUUCCACUAUGGUGGCAUUUAAGCGAUGGACGGGAAGCUACCUGUCAGAUAUGCUGAGGUUUGCAAGAUUCCGGCAUUCAGCAGUUAGAUGAACUCCAACGUCCCAUCCAGAAGGUGCUCAAAAAUGAUAAAUUUUGCCAGUACAGUGGUACCUCGGGUUAAUAACUUAAUUCGUUCCGGAGGUUCGUUCUUAACCUGAAACUGUUCUUAACCUGAGGUACCACUUUAGCUAAUGGGGCCUCCCACUGCUGCCACGCCGCCACCGUGCGAUUUCUGUUCUUAUCCUGAAGCAAAGUUCUUAACCCGAGGUACUAUUUCUGGGUUAGCGGAGUCUGUAACCUGAUGCGUCUGUAACCCAAGGUUCCACUGUAUUAUACACCCCGAUCAUUCAUGGCCUGUUGGCAGUUCCCUAAAUAAAACCAAAAGGACACCAAGACAAUAGAUCAGGCUUCCUCAAACACGGCCCUCCAGAUGUUUUAAGACUACAAUUCCCAUUAUCCCUGACCACUGCUAGCUAGGGAUCAUGGGAGUCGUAGGCCAAAAACAUCUGGAGGGCCGAGUUUGCGGAAGUCUGCAAUAGAUAGUACUGAAAACUAUCAAAGCAGUCAAAACCCAGACAACAUCAGAAAGCCAGUAAAUAGCAUUAAAAACCAACAAGGGGGAUCAUAGGAGCCAACUCCUAGGGGCUGAAAUCCCUUUGCCCUCCCUCCAAGAAAAUGUUUGAUGGGGCUGCCUCUCCCCCCCCCCCAGUUGUUGGACAUUGCCAUUCAAAUGGUGCUGUGUGGGUCGUGUCCUGUGAUCAGCGUUGCGGGGCAGGGCUUACUUGUCUCUCCCCCCGAAGAAUAUUUUAUUCAGGUUGACCCCCCUGAGGAGAAUACAAUUUAGCCAGGAGGUUGGAAAUUGCAAAUAAACAGUGUUCUCAGAAGUGGAAGUUCUUGGCCUUCCUGAUUUCUGAUUCUUCCGGUCAUUUUAACGAUUUCAGCAUCAUCCAUCAACUUGAUCUGUCAUUCUUCUCUGGUAUAAGCGAGCUCCUGAGCGAUCCUUGUUUGAAAACUCUAGGGGAAGUGUGAGAGAGAGGUUUUUGUAUCAGUUCCCCAUCAGAUUGUACCACCGUGGAAGACGUUACUGCCUGUCACCCAGUCAGCACAGUAAUAAACCGCCUCGUCUUCAGCCUGGACAUUGGAGAUGGUUAAAUAGUAAGUGUUCCCAGAGGUGGAGGCAGCGAACCGAUCAGGGAUCCCGUCUCCCCGGGUGCUGGUACCAUAGAACACGAAACGAGGAGCCUGUCCACCUUUCUGCACAUACCAGCUAUAACCAUACAAGCUGCCACUACUUCUAGAGCAGGAGAGUUUGACAGUUUGACCCGGUAGCACAGAGUCAGAGGCAGGCUGGAUCAAUGUUGU
rnacentral:lncRNA from 1 species